rnacentral:rRNA from 1 species
CUACGGGAGGCAGCAGUUAAGAAUCUUGCGCAAUGGGCGCAAGCCUGACGCAGCGACGCCGCGUGCGCGAUGAAGGCCUUCGGGUUGUAAAGCGCAAUAGACAGGGAAGAAGAAAGUGACGGUACCUGUUGAAAGCACCGGCUAACUACGUGCCAGCAGCCGCGGUAAUACGUAUGGUGCAAGCGUUGUUCGGAUUUACUGGGCGUAAAGAGUGCGCGGGCGGAUCAUUAAGUCAGGUGUGAAAACUUCGGGCUCAACCCGAAGACUGCACUUGAAACUAAUAAUCUCGAGUCUCGGAGAGGCAGGCAGAAUUCCUGGUGUAGCGGUGAAAUGCGUAGAUAUCAGGAGGAAUACCAAUGGCGAAGGCAGCCUGCUGGACGAUGACUGACGCUGAGGCACGAAAGCGUGGGGAGCAAACAGGAUUAGAAACCCUUGUAGUCC